rnacentral:rRNA from 1 species
CGGAUACAUAGCCGGCCUGAGAGGGUGGACGGUCACACUGGGACUGAGACACGGCCCAGACUCCUACGGGAGGCAGCAGUGGGGAAUAUUGCACAAUGGGCGCAAGCCUGAUGCAGCGACGCCGCGUGAGGGAUGGAGGCCUUCGGGUUGUGAACCUCUUUCGCCAGUGAAGCAGGCCUGUCCCUUUUGUGGGUGGGUUGACGGUAGCUGGAUAAGAAGCGCCGGCUAACUACGUGCCAGCAGCCGCGGUAAUACGUAGGGCGCGAGCGUUGUCCGGAAUUAUUGGGCGUAAAGAGCUCGUAGGCGGCUGGUCGCGUCUGUCGUGAAAUCCUCUGGCUUAACUGGGGGCUUGCGGUGGGUACGGGCCGGCUUGAGUGCGGUAGGGGAGACUGGAACUCCUGGUGUAGCGGUGGAAUGCGCAGAUAUCAGGAAGAACACCGGUGGCGAAGGCGGGUCUCUGGGCCGUUACUGACGCUGAGGAGCGAAAGCGUGGGGAGCGAACAGGAUUAGAUACCCU